rnacentral:rRNA from 1 species
UACGUAGGGGGCAAGCGUUGUCCGGAUUUAUUGGGCGUAAAGAGCGUGUAGGCGGCUUGGUAAGUCCGCUGUGAAAGUCCAGGGCUCAACCCUGGAAAGCCGGUGGAAACUGUCAAGCUUGAGUCCGGAAGAGGCGAGUGGAAUUCCUGGUGUAGCGGUGAAAUGCGCAGAUAUCAGGAGGAACACCAAUGGCGAAGGCAGCUCGC